rnacentral:tRNA from 1 species
GGUUGAGUGGCCGAGCGGUCUAAGGCGCUGGUUUUAGGCACCAGUCUCUUCGGAGGCGUGGGUUCAAAUCCCACAUCUACCA